rnacentral:lncRNA from 1 species
AACAAAUUUCGUUGUAGAAGGGUCUAAAAACAGCACAAACAACAUUUUCCAAAAGACCAAAAAGUGAAAAAGUAUAUUUAAACAAAACGCAUUUGACUAAACAGGUCGAACAACUGAUGUUCUUUAACCCUGCUGACUGCCAUUGGCGAUUGCCAAAUAAAAUUGAUCACAAGAUGUAACAAAAUGGAUCUUAAUAUAAAUUUAAUACUAAACAGAAAAAAAAAUUAACUUGUGGCCACG